CAAUAGCGUAUAUUAAAGUUGUUGCAGUUAGAACGCUCGUAGUCGGAUUUCGGGGCGGGCCGACCGGCCUGCCGAUGGGUACGCACUGGUCGGCGCGUCCUUCCUUCCGGAGACCGUUCCUACUCUUAACUGAGCGGGGGCGGGAGACGGAUCGUUUACUUUGAAAAAAUCAGAGUGUUUCAAGCAGGCAGCUCGCUCUUGCAUGGAUUAGCAUGGGAUAAUGAAAUAGGACUUUGGUGCUAUUUUGUUGGUUUCGAACACCGAAGUAAUGAUUAAAAGGGACAGUCAGGGGCACUCGUAUUCCGCCGAGAGAGGUGAAAUUCUCAGACCAGCGGAAGACGAACUACUGCGAAAGCAUUUGCCAGGGAUGUUUUCACUGA
rnacentral:rRNA from 1 species